GAUGAACGCUGGCGGCGUGCCUAAUACAUGCAAGUCGAGCGAACGGACGAGAAGCUUGCUUCUCUGAUGUUAGCGGCGGACGGGUGAGUAACACGUGGAUAACCUACCUAUAAGACUGGGAUAACUUCGGGAAACCGGAGCUAAUACCGGAUAAUAUUUUGAACCGCAUGGUUCAAAAGUGAAAGACGGUCUUGCUGUCACUUAUAGGUGGAUCCGCGCUGCAUUAGCUAGUUGGUAAGGUAACGGCUUACCAAGGCAACGAUGCAUAGCCGACCUGAGAGGGUGAUCGGCCACACUGGAACUGAGACACGGUCCAGACUCCUACGGGAGGCAGCAGUAGGGAAUCUUCCGCAAUGGGCGAAAGCCUGACGGAGCAACGCCGCGUGAGUGAUGAAGGUCUUCGGAUCGUAAAACUCUGUUAUUAGGGAAGAACAUAUGUGUAAGUAACUGUGCACAUCUUGACGGUACCUAAUCAGAAAGCCACGGCUAACUACGUGCCAGCAGCCGCGGUAAUACGUAGGUGGCAAGCGUUAUCCGGAAUUAUUGGGCGUAAAGCGCGCGUAGGCGGUUUUUUAAGUCUGAUGUGAAAGCCCACGGCUCAACCGUGGAGGGUCAUUGGAAACUGGAAAACUUGAGUGCAGAAGAGGAAAGUGGAAUUCCAUGUGUAGCGGUGAAAUGCGCAGAGAUAUGGAGGAACACCAGUGGCGAAGGCGACUUUCUGGUCUGUAACUGACGCUGAUGUGCGAAAGCGUGGGGAUCAAACAGGAUUAGAUACCCUGGUAGUCCACGCCGUAAACGAUGAGUGCUAAGUGUUAGGGGGUUUCCGCCCCUUAGUGCUGCAGCUAACGCAUUAAGCACUCCGCCUGGGGAGUACGACCGCAAGGUUGAAACUCAAAGGAAUUGACGGGGACCCGCACAAGCGGUGGAGCAUGUGGUUUAAUUCGAAGCAACGCGAAGAACCUUACCAAAUCUUGACAUCCUUUGACAACUCUAGAGAUAGAGCCUUCCCCUUCGGGGGACAAAGUGACAGGUGGUGCAUGGUUGUCGUUAGCUCGUGUCGUGAGAUGUUGGGUUAAGUCCCGCAACGAGCGCAACCCUUAAGCUUAGUUGCCAUCAUUAAGUUGGGCACUCUAAGUUGACUGCCGGUGACAAACCGGAGGAAGGUGGGGAUGACGUCAAAUCAUCAUGCCCCUUAUGAUUUGGGCUACACACGUGCUACAAUGGACAAUACAAAGGGCAGCGAAACCGCGAGGUCAAGCAAAUCCCAUAAAGUUGUUCUCAGUUCGGAUUGUAGUCUGCAACUCGACUACAUGAAGCUGGAAUCGCUAGUAAUCGUAGAUCAGCAUGCUGCGGUGAAUACGUUCCCGGGUCU
rnacentral:rRNA from 1 species